rnacentral:rRNA from 1 species
UACGUAGGUGGCGAGCGUUGUCCGGAUUUACUGGGCGUAAAGCGCGUGUAGGUGGUUCUGUAAGUAGGGCGUGAAAGCUCCCGGCUCAACUGGGAGAGGCCGUUCUAAACUGCAGAGCUAGAGGAUGGUAGAGGGAGGUGGAAUUCCAGGUGUAGCGGUGGAAUGCGCAGAUAUCUGGAGGAACACCAGUGGCGAAGGCGACUUUCUGGUCUAUUAUUGACGCUGAGGCUCGAAAGCAUGGGUAGCAAACAGGAUUAGA